GAUGAACGCUGGCGGCGUGCCUAAUACAUGCAAGUCGAGCGAACAGACGAGGAGCUUGCUCCUCUGACGUUAGCGGCGGACGGGUGAGUAACACGUGGAUAACCUACCUAUAAGACUGGGAUAACUUCGGGAAACCGGAGCUAAUACCGGAUAAUAUAUUGAACCGCAUGGUUCAAUAGUGAAAGACGGUUUUGCUGUCACUUCUAGAUGGAUCCGCGCCGCAUUAGCUAGUUGGUAAGGUAACGGCUUACCAAGGCAACGAUGCGUAGCCGACCUGAGAGGGUGAUCGGCCACACUGGAACUGGGACACGGUCCAGACUCCUACGGGAGGCAGCAGUAGGGAAUCUUCCGCAAUGGGCGAAAGCCUGACGGAGCAACGCCGCGUGAGUGAUGAAGGUCUUCGGAUCGUAAAACUCUGUUAUUAGGGAAGAACAAAUGUGUAAGUAACUAUGCACGUCUUGACGGUACCUAAUCAGAAAGCCACGGCUAACUACGUG
rnacentral:rRNA from 1 species